rnacentral:rRNA from 1 species
CCUACGGGGUGCUGUAGUGGGGAAUAUUGGACAAUGGGCGAAAGCCUGAUCCAGCCAUGCCGCGUGUGUGAAGAAGGCCUUCGGGUUGUAAAGCACUUUCAGUGGGGAAGAAAGCCUUGGGGCUAAUACCCUCGAGGAAGGACAUCACCCACAGAAGAAGCACCGGCUAACUCCGUGCCAGCAGCCGCGGUAAUACGGAGGGUGCGAGCGUUAAUCGGAAUUACUGGGCGUAAAGCGCGCGUAGGCGGUCUGAUAAGCCGGUUGUGAAAGCCCCGGGCUCAACCUGGGAACGGCAUCCGGAACUGUCAGGCUAGAGUGCAGGAGAGGAAGGUAGAAUUCCCGGUGUAGCGGUGAAAUGCGUAGAGAUCGGGAGGAAUACCAGUGGCGAAGGCGGCCUUCUGGACUGACACUGACGCUGAGGUGCGAAAGCGUGGGUAGCAAACAGGAUUAGAUACCCUGGUAGUC